rnacentral:rRNA from 1 species
GCCUCCUAAAAGGUAACGGAGGCGCUCAAAGGUUCCCUCAGAAUGGUUGGAAAUCAUUCAUAGAGUGUAAAGGCAUAAGGGAGCUUGACUGCGAGACCUACAAGUCGAGCAGGGUCGAAAGACGGACUUAGUGAUCCGGUGGUUCCGCAUGGAAGGGCCAUCGCUCAACGGAUAAAAGCUACCCCGGGGAUAACAGGCUUAUCUCCCCCAAGAGUUCACAUCGACGGGGAGGUUUGGCACCUCGAUGUCGGCUCAUCGCAUCCUGGGGCUGUAGUCGGUCCCAAGGGUUGGGCUGUUCGCCCAUUAAAGCGGUACGCGAGCUGGGUUCAGAACGUCGUGAGACAGUUCGGUCCCUAUCCGUCGUGGGCGUAGGAAAUUUGAGAGGAGCUGUCCUUAGUACGAGAGGACCGGGAUGGACAUACCUCUGGUGUACCAGUUGUCGUGCCAACGGCAUAGCUGGGUAGCUAUGUGUGGACGGGAUAAGUGCUGAAAGCAUCUAA